GAUGAACGCUGGCGGCGUGCCUAAUACAUGCAAGUCGAGCGAACGGACGAGAAGCUUGCUUCUCUGAUGUUAGCGGCGGACGGGUGAGUAACACGUGGAUAACCUACCUAUAAGACUGGGAUAACUUCGGGAAACCGGAGCUAAUACCGGAUAAUAUUUUGAACCGCAUGGUUCAAAAGUUAAAGACGGUCUUGCUGUCACUUAUAGAUUGAUCCGCGCUGCAUUAGCUAGUUGGUAAGGUAACGGCUUACCAAGGCAACGAUGCAUAGCCGACCUGAGAGGGUGAUCGGACACACUGGAACUGAGACACGGUACAGACUCCUACGGGAGGCAGCAGUAGGGAAUCUUACGCAAUGGGCGAAAGCCUGACGGAGGAACGCCGCGUGAGUGAUGAAGGUCUUCGGAUCGUAAAACUCUGUUAUUAGGGAAGAACAUAUGUGUAAGUAACUGUGCACAUCUUGACGGUACCUAAUCAGAAAGCCACGGCUAACUACGUG
rnacentral:rRNA from 1 species